AGAGUUUGAUCCUGGCUCAGGAUGAACGCUGGCGGUAUGCCUAACACAUGCAAGUCGUACGAGGGUUUUUAACUCUAGUGGCGGACGGGUGAGUAACACGUGAGAAUUUGCCUUUAGGAGGGGGAUAACAAUCGGAAACGAAUGCUAAUACCCCAUAUGCUUUUGAGUGAAAUGGAUUUAUCCGCCUAAAGAGAAGCUCGCGGCUGAUUAGCUUGUUGGUAAGGUAAGAGCUUACCAAGGCGACGAUCAGUAUCUGGUUUGAGAGGACGAUCAGACACACUGGAACUGAGACACGGUCCAGACUCCUACGGGAGGCAGCAGUGGGGAAUUUUCCGCAAUGGGCGAAAGCCUGACGGAGCAAUACCGCGUGAGGGAAGACUGCCUAUGGGUUGUAAACCUCUUUUUUCAGGGAGGAAUAAAAUGACGUGUACCUGAAGAAUAAGCAUCGGCUAACUCCGUGCCAGCAGCCGCGGUAAG
rnacentral:rRNA from 1 species